AUACGGAGGGUGCAAGCGUUACUCGGAAUCACUGGGCGUAAAGCGCGCGCAGGCGGCUUGAUAAGUUGGAUGUGAAAGCCUACGGCUCAACCGUAGAACUGCAUCCAAACUGUCAGGCUAGAGUGUGGGAGAGGAAGAUGGAAUUAGUUGUGUAGGGGUAAAAUCCGUAGAGAUAACUAGGAAUACCAAAAGCGAAGGCAAUCUUCUGGAACACUACUGACGCUGAGGCGCGAAGGCGUGGGGAGCAAACAGGAUUAGAAACCCCGGUAGUCC
rnacentral:rRNA from 1 species